UCAUACAAUGCAAAGGCACAGGGCCUUGGC
rnacentral:sRNA from 1 species